rnacentral:rRNA from 1 species
CGGAGGGUGCAAGCGUUAUCCGGAUUCACUGGGUUUAAAGGGUGCGUAGGUGGGUAAGUAAGUCAGUGGUGAAAUCUCCGGGCUUAACCCGGAAACUGCCAUUGAUACUAUUUGUCUUGAAUACUGUGGAGGUCAGCGGAAUAUGUCAUGUAGCGGUGAAAUGCUUAGAUAUGUCAUAGAACACCAAUUGCGAAGGCAGCUGGCUACACAAAUAUUGACACUGAGGCACGAAAGCGUGGGGAUCAAACAGGAUUAGAUACCCUGGUAGUCCACGCCCUAAACUAUGGAUACUCGACAUUUGCGAUAAACUGCAAGUGUCUGAGCGAAAGCAUUAAGUAUCCCACCUGGGAAGUACGAUCGCAAGAUUAG